rnacentral:rRNA from 1 species
AUUGAACGCUGGCGGAAUGCUUUACACAUGCAAGUCGAACGGCAGCACGGACUUCGGUCUGGUGGCGAGUGGCGAACGGGUGAGUAAUGUAUCGGAACGUGCCCAGUCGUGGGGGAUAACGUAGUGAAAAUUACGCUAAUACCGCAUACGAUCUAUGGAUGAAAGCGGGGGAUCGCAAGACCUCGCGCGAUUGGAGCGGCCGAUAUCAGAUUAGGUAGUUGGCGGGGUAAAGGCCCACCAAGCCAACGAUCUGUAGCUGGUCUGAGAGGACGACCAGCCACACUGGAACUGAGACACGGUCCAGACUCCUACCGGAGGCAGCAGGGGGGAAUUUUGGACAAUGGGCGAAAGCCUGAUCCAGCCAUUCCGCGUGCAGGAUGAAGGCCCUCGGGUUGUAAACUGCUUUUGUACAGAACGAAAAGGUUUCUACUAAUACUAGGAGCUCAUGACGGUACUGUAAGAAUAAGCACCGGCUAACUACAUGCCAGCCGCCGCGGUAA